rnacentral:rRNA from 1 species
AGCUGAUCAUUGGGCAUAAAGCGUGCGCAGGCGGUUUUGUAAGACAGAGGUGAAAUCCCCGGGCUCAACCUGGGAACUGCCUUUGUGACUGCAAGGCUGGAGUGCGGCAGAGGGGGAUGGAAUUCCGCGUGUAGCAGUGAAAUGCGUAGAUAUGCGGAGGAACACCGAUGGCGAGGGCAAUCCCCUGGGCCUGCACUGACGCUCAUGCACGAAAGCGUGGGGAGCAAACA